rnacentral:rRNA from 1 species
GGAGGGGUGCAAGCGUUAAUCGGAAUUACUGGGCGUAAAGGGCGCGUAGGCGGAUGUUUAAGUUAGAUGUGAAAGCCCCGGGCUUAACCUGGGAUUUGCAUUUAAAACUGGGCAUCUAGAGUUGAGUAGAGGGACGUGGAAUUUCCGGUGUAGCGGUGAAAUGCGUAGAUAUCGGAAGGAACACCAGUGGCGAAGGCGACUUUCUGGACUCAAACUGACGCUGAGGCGCGAAAGCGUGGGGAGCAAACAGGAUUAGAUACCCUGGUAGUCCACGCCGUAAACGAUGAGAACUAGCUGUUGGCAGGCGUUGACCUGUUAGUAGCGAAGCAAACGCGUUAAGUUCUCCGCCUGGGGAGUACGGCCGCAAAGGCUA